rnacentral:misc_RNA from 1 species
GAUGAAGAACGUAGUGAAAUGCGAUAAGUAAUGUGAAUUGCAGAAUUCAGUGAAUCAUCGAAUCUUUGAACGCACAUUGCGCCCGCCAGUAUUCUGGCGGGCUUGCCUGUUCGAGCGUCAUUACAACCCUCAGGCCCCCGGGCCUGGCGUUGGGGAUCGGCGGAAGCCCCCUGCGGGCACAACGCCGUCCCCCAAAUACAGUGGCGGUCCCGCCGCAGCUUCCAUUGCGUAGUAGCUAACACCUCGCAACUGGAGAGCGGCGCGGCCACGCCGUAAAACACCCAACUUCUGAAUGUUGACCUCGAAUCAGGUAGGAAUACCCGCUGAACUUAAGCAUAUCAAUAAGCGGAGGA